ACGGCUCAGUAACACGUGGAUAACCUGCCCUUGGGACCGGGAUAACCCCGGGAAACUGGGGAUAAUACCGGAUAACGCAUAUCUGCUGGAAUGCUUUAUGCGUAAAAUGGAUUUGUCUGCCCAAGGAUGGGUCUGCGGCCUAUCAGGUAGUAGUGGGUGUAAUGUACCUACUAGCCUACGACGGGUACGGGUUGUGAGAGCAAGAGCCCGGAGAUGGAUUCUGAGACAUGAAUCCAGGCCCUACGGGGCGCAGCAGGCGCGAAAACUUUACAAUGCGGGAAACCGUGAUAAGGGGACACCGAGUGCCAGCAUCAUAUGUUGGCUGUCCAGAUGUGUAAAAUACAUCUGUUAGCAAGGGCCGGGCAAGACCGGUGCCAGCCGCCGCGGUAACACCGGCGGCCCGAGUGGUGAUCGUGAUUAUUGGGUCUAAAGGGUCCGUAGCCGGUUUGGUCAGUCCUCCGGGAAAUCUGACGGCUCAACCGUUAGGCUUUCGGUGGAUACUGCCAGACUUGGAACCGGGAGAGGUAAGAGGUACUACAGGGGUAGGAGUGAAAUCUUGUAAUCCCUGUGAGACCACCUGUGGCGAAGGCGUCUUACCAGAACGGGUUCGACGGUGAGGGACGAAAGCUGGGGGCACGAACCGGAUUAGAUACCCGGGUAGUCCCAGCCGUAAACGAUGCUCGCUAGGUGUCAGGCAUGGCGCGACCGUGUCUGGUGCCGCAGGGAAGCCGUGAAGCGAGCCACCUGGGAAGUACGGCCGCAAGGCUGAAACUUAAAGGAAUUGGCGGGGGAG
rnacentral:rRNA from 1 species